GCUUCUUGGAUUGCCGUUACCUUGGCUUCCCAUGACCUUGGCAAAGAUCGAAGAAUUUUCCUGACAAGGUCACUGUUAGCAUAACUUUUGCCAAGGCUUUUUAGACCAUUGACAAUAUCAGUAAAUCUAGUAAACAUGCAAGUGAUAGUUUCAUUAGAAUCCAUUUUAAAUAGUUCAUACUUAUGAACUAGCAUGUUUAUUUUAGAUUCCUUGACUUGAUUCGUGCCCUCGUGGGUCACUUCAAGUCUGUCCCAUAUCUCUUUUGCAGAAUUGCAAGUAGAGACUCUGUUGAAUUCAUUACGGUCUAAGGCACAAUAAAGCACAUUCAUUGCUUUGGCAUUGAGUUGUGCCUUCCU
rnacentral:lncRNA from 1 species